UGAUAUGAACGUGUUGUAGCAUUUAUCAGG
rnacentral:piRNA from 1 species